rnacentral:rRNA from 1 species
GACGAACGCUGGCGGCGUGCUUAACACAUGCAAGUCGAACGGAAAGGCCCUGCUUUUGUGGGGUGCUCGAGUGGCGAACGGGUGAGUAACACGUGAGUAACCUGCCCUUGACUUUGGGAUAACUUCAGGAAACUGGGGCUAAUACCGGAUAGGAGCUCCUGCUGCAUGGUGGGGGUUGGAAAGUUUCGGCGGUUGGGGAUGGACUCGCGGCUUAUCAGCUUGUUGGUGGGGUAGUGGCUUACCAAGGCUUUGACGGGUAGCCGGCCUGAGAGGGUGACCGGAAACAUUGGGACUGAGAUAAGGCCCAGACUCCUACGGGAGGCAGCAGUGGGGAAUAUUGCACAAUGGGCGGAAGCCUGAUGCAGCAAAGCCGCGUGCGGGAUGAAGGCCUUCGGGUUGUAAACCGCUUUCGCCUGUGACGAAGCGUGAGUGACGGUAAUGGGUAAAGAAGCACCGGCUAACUACGUG